AGCUUUGUGCAGUGUCAAUAUCAUAGCCAAUGAAGUUUAACCUAGGUGUGAUUAUUGCUAAUUGAAAGAACUGGUCCAAUUGUUGAAACAAAACUUCCACACAUGAAAACAAUUGUGAAAAGCAACGAUGAGUUUUCAAUCUUUACAAUGAUGUCAAUU
ensembl:snRNA U4 U4 spliceosomal RNA